CAGUAGCCGCGGUACUACGAGGGGGGCAAGCGUUGUUCGGAAUUAUUGGGCGUAAAGGGCAUGCAGGCGGUCGUGCAAGCCCGGCGUGAAAGGUGGGGGCUCAACUCCCAAACUGCACUGGGAACUGCAAGGCUUGAGUUUCUGAAGGGCAGCCGGAAUUCCACGUGUAGGGGUGAAAUCUGUAGAUAUGUGGAAGAACACCAAUGGCGAAGGCAGGCUACCGGCAGAAGACUGACGCUGAGGUGCGAAGGUGCGGGGAGCAAACAGGAUUAGAUACCCCCGUAGUCCCUGUCUCUUAUAC
rnacentral:rRNA from 1 species